AAUGACGUAGUUUUGGUGUUAAAAGAAUGGGAAAAGACUAUAAAUCCCCUUAUAAAAUGUGACUAAAAAUCUACAAAAUUGAGUAGUAUGGACCAUCCUAUGAUCGUUGGACCGACCUAUGAUCGUGUGUGGUGUUCGUUUGGACCGACCUAUGAUCGUGUGUGGUGCUCAUAGUUGAGUGGUUGCAUGGGAGGCUCUCUGGACUUGAUCAUAUGAUCCAUGGUAUAAUUUUGGAAUACAUCUAAGCCGUACUUUGGUUCAUAGGUUGAAAGUCCAAGCCAGAUUAGUUUUAGGACUCACGAUCGCACUUUAGAUCAUGGUUUUAAACCAAGACCGUAGGUGUACUUGUAAUUUUCAGGUGUUUGGGACUGUUUCAAUCAUAUGAGAGCAUUGUACGAUCAUACAAUCUCACCAAGAUCAUACCUACACUCGUAGGUUCUCACCGUUGGAUAAUGUCUCACUAAAAUAGCCAUAACUCUUAGCUCUAGAACCAGAUUAAGGUAAAACUAGAUUCAUUAGAAAGAAGACUCAAAUACCUUUCAUUUAGUUGGUUUUGAGCUAAAAAAUACUUCAAAAUAUAUGAGUUGUGAUCUUUUAAAAUAUACUAUAAAAGGAUUCUUCAUAAGAAAUCAAUCGGUAAGGAAUGUUUUAACUUGGCGUUGAGCUAGGAGUUACUUAUGGCCUUAAUACAUGUCUAAAUCACUUCUCAUACUACCAAAAUAUGAUGUUUAUUCUAUAUGUACUUGAAGCAUGGUUCUAAUAUUAGGUUGAAAUUUUAGGGUGUUACAAUCUUUCUCUAUGUUUGUAGCUUGGGGCGCAUACUCACGAACAAGAAACUUUACACCUGCAAAUGCUGCUGCACCAACUAGUUUUGCAUGUUGGAAAUGUCUCUGAACGAUCCCUCAAAAUUUAUUUGGGACCUCAUAGAAAUAAAUCAAAUAUAUUACUAGGUUAUUUUGAUGUUUCGGACUCAAUGAUAAUGUCAGAUUUUUAAAAAGAGGCCGUUUAAUACAAAUUAACCCCUAGGAUCCGUAAAAGCUUAUUUUAAAACUACUUUUUGAACAAAGAGUCAAAAUACCAAAUAAAUAUUCCAAACCGAAAACAACCCCUCUACUAACCCAAGAUCGAUAUUUCAAGUUUAAUAAGACUAUCCAAAUCGCCAUUCGGUGCUCAAAAGAUAAAAUAUUGACUGAAGUCAAACUUAUGACUUUUAAAGUCUUCUAGAGUCUUAAAUUCUCCCAAAUCAUUCUCAAAUGUAUUGGGGAUCAUGCCAACCAUCUCCAUACCUUAUAAUCAGCAUGUAACAACCAUGAAAAAUAGAAAAAUGGUCAAAACACAUAAAAAGGAAAAAUUUAACACCUCAGGUUGUUACAAAAAUAAAGUUUAGUGAGUGUCUAGGUGAAAUAUAUUGACAAAUUUUAAAAAUAGACUAUUAUUUCUUGUUCUUAUAUUAGUUUAUUCUGUCGAAUGUUUUUGUUCUUGAGUUGGGAGUCUUUCGAAAACAACCCCUCUACCUCACCUUUGAGGUAGUGGUAUUGAUACGAGUCAAAUGUCCACCUUAGCUUUUGAUGACAUCUUUGAAGGCCAACACCUAAAGGCUCAAGACUUGGUCACCCCAAGAGCACAAGGAUACACAAGGAAGGAUCAUUUUGAGCAUGACUUAAAGCAAUCUCGGGUGUGGAAGGUUGCUUGGUUGCUUACAUUGAUGCUAACCCGAGAAUCACAAGCCUUGAAGUAUGAACCAUACUCGGUUUUUGAGAGCAUUGAAAAGGCGUCAUUCAUUCAAGUUAUAACAUACCUUGGUUGCCCCUACAUUAAAGGUAUUUUAUACAUUAAAUAUGGUGUAUUUACACACCAUGGCAGCCCCUCUCAUUAAGGGCAAAGUGGUAUUUUUAUCUUCAUUUGUAAUAUAUUAUAAAUAGGCCCCUUUAGACUUAUUUUUCACUAGUUUUGGAAGAAUGAAAGAUUAAAACACAAAUCCUCUCUCUUGAGAGUAGAACACUUUAGGUAAUCUUAGUUUAGGGCUUGGAAAAGCUAAUAUUGAUCUUUGCUUGGAAACGAUGAAUCUUGAGGUGAGUUGAUUCCCUUGGCAGUCACCGUAAAAGUGUGGUUUGAAUUAUUACAUUCAUUAGGGGUUUUUGAGUUUAAUACACUCUUUAGUUCUUAAUAUUGUGAUAAUCUUGAUCUCACUAUCCAUCCUUUACUUUUGUUGUUGUUAUCUUGUGUAGUGGACUGUUUUGGGUCCUUUAUUGAAUCCGAAACUUGUGUUAUUGUUGUUCAUCUUGUUCAUCACGCUUUGUAGUUGUUUUUUGGUGAUAUAUACAUCAUUGUAUCUUGUAUUCUUCUUGUUGAUAGCGAAUCCGAGAGUGGUCUCCAAAAAGGUCCUCGGAUCCUUAAAAUUUGCGGAUUGUUUUGGAGUUAUUUCGUGUUUCUCUUGUCUUUAUUGUAUCAGGUAUGGAUUGUCUACAUUUUACCUGCCUCAAACUCUAUUUUGUGGGCAUAUAAUGAGUAUGUUGUUAUUGUUGUUGUUGUUGUAUUAAGGACCCAUUUUGUCAUGCAAGAUGAAAUCAUUAUUUGAAAUCAUGAUCAUAUGUAACACCCCGAAAAUGGGUCCCGAGACGUCACACGGUGCUCAAGACUACGAGUAGCCUUAAGCUAACCUUAUAAGCCAUCUACUAAAUCUGAAACUCAUAAUAAGGAAGUACAGAUAUACAAUCAAGCUAAAAUGCAGAAUUCUGUAUGAGCUAAGCUGAAAAUAUCGAAAUAUAAUAUUUGAAAAUACUAAACUCAAGAGUCUGAUCAAUCAAUACUGAAAAUCUGAAGCAUAUCUAGCAGUCUGACAAGCCUCUACCACUAAUGCUAGAGUGUCACUGGGACAAACCCCCAGCUGACUCGAACUGUCUAAAAAUACUGAAUCAUCUAAACUAAUAAGCUAAAAAACUGAAUGACUAAGUCCCCGAACUAUGAGGACUCACCAACUAUCGGGAUGUAAUGGAGAUGCUCAAAAUCACUCACGUUGCUGAAACUGAGCACCUGGACCUACAUUAUGAGACAAUGUAGCACAUAGACGUAUAUGUGGAUCAGUACUUCUGGAUUGUACUGAGUAUAUGGGAGUGAAUGCAUAAGUAAAUCAAUAUCUCAAUAUUAUUAUAAAUUUGUAAAAGAAUGCAUGCUAAAUGUAGAUGACUCACAUAAGCUGGAAUAUCUAAAAACUAAAAUCAUAAUCACAUAAGCUGGAAUAGAAAAAUAUGGUUCAUAGAUCUACUGAGUCAUAACAUUUAGUUUCUAAAAGUUGUACUUGUAUUCUAUCUUAAAAUCAUGUUGUCCAAGUGUAGAAAAGACUCACUUUUACAUAUGAAAUCUGAAAGCUAACAUCUGUAACUAAUGUUUCAUACAAGGCAAAAUCUGAAUAAAGUUUGUGAGCCUUUACACUUAGUUUCUAAAAGCUUUUAUGUUAUUCUUUACUCUUUUCUGCAAGUUGUAUGGAGGUUCUUCUAACCGACAUACACUAUGUGAGUUAUCAUAGUGUCCAACGUCUAGUUCCCUUAUGGGAAAACCUCAAGUUGGGGAGAGGUGUCAUGCUCUUGCUAAGGAGUAUAACCUAAUCUAAGUGAUCACACCUGUAACUGUCAUCCAUAUAGAAAUGAAAACAAUCUGAUAAUUUGUACCUACAUUGAUUCGUAGUUCUGAGGCAUGUAAAUAUACCCAACUCGGUACUAAAUACUACUCCCUUUAAAUCUGUAUGCUCAUUCUGUAGGAAAUUCACUUUUAAAAACUAAUAUAAGAGUUUCUAAUGAAAACCUCUUGUAAAUCUGUUUAUUAUAAACUGUAGCUAAAUUUGUAAAGUGGAUUCCAUAUCUAAGCUGAGAUCAAAAGAUCAAAUCUUUAUUCAAAAUCUAAAUAUAACAAAUCAUGGGAUGCUUAAAAGCAUAAUCUUCUUAAAAUAACAACAUUCAAAGUAGGGCUAAUAACCCAUACAUUAAAUUCAUGUCAAAUCAUAGUAAAGUUCAUGCUUAGUAAUGAAAGCAUUGAAAUUCAAUUCUAAAUCUGGAAAUUUAUAUCAUACGCAUGAAAAUAUGAAAGUAAACAUGCAAUUCAACCUCUAAAUCACUUGUAAUCUCAUAAUCUUGCAAAUAUCAAUAUUGGGUAUGAACCCUAAUUUGAAUCUCAUGUAAUUUCAUAUAAAACUCAACUUCAAAACUAAUUUUGGGCACAAGAAUGAAAGGAUUAUCAUUGUUGAAAAAACCCACAUACCUUAAUUGAUGAUUAGAUGGAGAAACUUGAACUUUUAGUUCCUAUUUGUGCUCUUGAAGAUAGAUUCUUGAAGUUAUUGAAUUGGUAAUCUUUAAUUUUGAGCUAUCUUGGAAAAAGAAUGGUGGAAUUUGGAUUUCUUGGGAAUGAAGGUUUGAAGUUCUAGGGUUUCUUCGAGAGAAAGUUGAUGAAAAGUGAGCAUAAUAGGCUUAGAAUAGGUUUAAUCCUCUGUUAUUCGCGAUUUGGGGGUUUGGAAAAAGACUAAAUUGCCCUUUUAAAAUUUUACUCGAAACUGGAAAUCCCAAUUUUGCCUCCCACAGCGAUGCGCCGCUAUCGUGGUGGCUUACUGAAAAAAGGACGAUCACCAUUUCGGCCUCUGGCAUGACGCGACGUAAUCGCGUUGCGUCACUAGAAAAGAACGAGUGCCAUUUUGCACUCCACCACGAUGCGGUGUCUGUCUAAUUGAAAAUUUUGAUGCGAUAUAGGCUAAUUGCGGUAAGUUACUGGAAUGGAACGAACGGUAACUGGAGCUUCACCGCGACGCGGGCCAAUCGCGAUGCUUUACUGAAAUCGGACAAUUGUGAAUUUGUCCUUCAUCGCGACGCGGUGCUUAUUGUGGUGAUCUACUGCUUUUACUAAAAUCACCAUAACUUCUUAACCGAGUAUCGGGUUUAGGCGAAUUGGUAUUGUUGGAAAGCUGAUCAAUUAUCUACACAUUGGUGGGUCUAGAACUUGAAAAUUCUACACGCAUCAAGAGUUGUACACUUUCAAAGCUAACCCUUGACACACUAGGCGCUAAAUUGAGCUAGGAAAAGUAUGGGGUAUUACAUCAUAUGAGAUAGUAUAAUCAUUCUUUUACAAUCUUACAAAAUAAGCAAAAGUUCAUAAAGAAGAUAUGAUACACUAACACAAAGCUAUUCUAAAAAAAUUGCAACAUUUAUUAAUCAAACUUUUGUUCAACUAAAAGUAAAAAUGAACAUGAGUUGUAGUUUAGUCCUCUUCAACAGAAUCCUCCUACAUAGCAUGGAUAAUCUCCUCACAUUGAGCAAGUAUUUCGAAAGGACGAAACAUCAUUGUUAUUUUGAUCCAUUAGUUGGUGAAGAUCAAGAGUAAUAAUACCAACUAUAAGUGAAUUGUAAUUCACAAGAAAGUAUAAUACACUAUCAUAAAUCUAUUCUAAAAAAACACAGUACUUAUUGAUCGAACUUUAGUUCAAUAAAAGAUAAAAUUUGUGGUGUAUUCUCUAAUAUAAACCUCCUACAUAGCACGGACAAUCUCCUCAUGUUGAGCAUGUAUUUAUCGAUCAGAUGACCGAGAAUACAAAACGAUAUUGUUACUUUGAGCCAUUUGUUGGUCGAGAUCAAGAGUAAUAAUACCAACUAUAAGUUAAUUAUUAACAUCUGCAAUAAAUGGUUGGUUUAUAUAAAAAGGUGAAAUUUCUUACAAGAUAUAAUCUUGUGGGUUAAUGUUUAUAUUAAAAAAAUAAAAUCAUGAUAUAAAAUCGCAUGUCCAAACACUAAUUUCAUAUCAUGAUCUCAAAUUACAAGAUGAAAUCACAUAUUCAAAUUCCUACUAACUAAAUGUAUAAUAAUUUUGACGAACACCAUAUUUUUUUUUGACGAAAACCCAAUUCUAUUGCUCCGACUUGGUAUUAGGUAACUUAGAUAAAAUUUCUCAUUUUUAACCUCCUCUUCCCCUUCUAGUUAUUCUUAUCCAAAAAUCCUACGUGUUCGUUAUAAUUGUCAUAUCUUUAUCCGAGUUAAUAAAUACCCCUAGAACAAAAAACAUAUGUGUUAUGAAUUUGAAUCAUCAAGAAAAUAAAAUAGAAAGAGAGCUUUUAAGAUAUUUUUUACUUUUUAGAUAUAAAUGUGAUAUUUUGGGGGGCAAUAAACUAUAAAUUAUUACCAUACCAUCAAUCAAUUACACCUAAGAGCGUCUAUACCCUUGGUUGUCAAAAAACAAAAUUUAGUGAACCUCAGAGCUAAUUAUAAAUUGCAAAAAGUAAAUGACUACACUAUCUCCUUCUCUUAGUUCCUUUGAACAUGUCUACCCUUUCUUUAACUACACUUUGGACUUGUUGAGCCACAAAAUUUGUCUGUACAAUUACCCCUUUUAAAAUUUUGUAAUUCCUAGUUAGCCAUGCUUGAUAUACUACUGCUCUUUAUCCUUUAGGGUGUCUUGCACACAUUGUGGUUCCAAAUUUAUUCCAAUAUACGUUUUAAUUACCCUUCAAGCAUCCCUAAACUAUAUACAUUCAGGACGCGCAUAAGUAUACAUUACACAUUCAACAUUACCCUAUCCAGCACCUAUCAUCUACAACCUAUCUUUGAAAUGUCAUCAAAUGGUUCAAAUGUCAUCAGGUUGUGAUCUUUUCUUUCUCAAAUGCAGCCUGAGUUUGGUUGACUAAACUAUGUAGCACUUGUUUAAGUCUACUAUACAUCAAUUUGGAGAUAUAUUUGCACACAAUAUUAAAGCAGGCAAAUGGUGAACUAACUUGCAUUUACAUGCUUAUUCACCUCAGGAAUUAAGAUGAUUACUAUGGCAUUAAGUUGUUGCAACAACUUACUAUUCUAAAAAAAAUCCAGAAUUACAUCUGUUAGCUAUGCCCUUACUAUAUCCCAAGAGUCUCUGAGGAAACCACUAUUAUAGCUUUCUUUACUUUCUUCAUUUUAUAACCAUUAAGUAAUGUCAUUUGUUAGGACACUAUCAAAAAACCAUAGAUAGUGUAGUCCCAAUCUUUAGGAACAUCUGGCAAGCUUUAUGUCUUGGUGUUUUUCCUAUUUCUCCAAGAAGUUUAGUGCAGUUCUGGAGAAAGAUCUCAAUAAUCUUUUGUGGCUCAGUAUGGGUUUACGUAUGAUCAUCUUGCAAUUGUAUCACUACCUGAGCUAGGCUUCUCUACUUUAGAACUGAGUAAAAGUACUUAGUAACAUCACCAAGCCAGAUCUAUGUAGCUUUGCUUCUUUGAACCAAUUGUUUUUCUGCCAUAUAACUCACUUUCUUGAACUCUUUUCCAACAUCUCUUUCUCCUUAUGCAAGUGAUGAUUACGGGUAUCAUUUUGUAACUUGUUAUGGACAUCUAAUAGCUUCCCUCUAAGGUCAGUUACUUCAGCCAAUAUAUUACUUAAAUGCUAAAAGUGUAUCCCCUCAGUACAAUUUUCAGCUUCUUAAGUUUAGUGGUGACUUUAUAUAUAUAAUGGCCUUUGACCUGGUACAGUUAUCCCUCUCUCAUCAUACAAUGGCCUUUGACCUGGUACAGUUAUCCCUGUCUCAUCAAGUUCUGAAACUAUUGGUGUUGACUCUACAUAUUAGAGUACUUAAAAAGAGGUCUUUUCCUUGGCACAAUACCUUCAAGUUUAACAUGAAUUGAGCUAUGGUCACUUACCCCUUCAUUGAGGAAAUAAUAGUUACACCUAAGCAUCUCAUCUACCCAUACACUAUUUAUUAAAGACCAGUCAAUAAUACCCUAUUAGUUUCUCCUUUAUCAUUCCAAGUUUAAUUACACCUAGUACUAUCUAUUUCCUCUUACAAACAAGUAUUUAGGCAUUUUUGAAAAUCAACUAGCUCUGCUAAAGAGACAAGGUUGCCCCCUACUCUAUCCCCACUAUGCUAUACUGAAUUGUAAUCCCAUAAAACCAACCAAGGGAUGUGCAUCCCAAUACUCAACUUACACAAAUAACUUCAUAGGUCUUUUCUUUCCCCUCUUCCAUUGUGGGCAUGUACAAAAGUGACAUGAAUUUUUGUUGUAGUUUAAAAUCUUUGACUAAGCAUGUCACAGCUUGAGCAUUCUUAGAACAAAUAGUAACUUCAGGUUUAUCUUCUCUCCAAUCAACCCAAAUUCUCCCAUUAUAGUGAGAGACGCGAUCAGAGUGAUACUUUUAGCCACUAAACAUACUAUCUGCUAUAUUUAUCUUAGCCUCAAGUAGACCAAAUAUAUAAGUUUUAACUGAUUACAGAAGAAUUUUACCUCGCUUUAUUUUAUGAGACCUCUAACAUUUCAACAGAUUAGGUUAACUAGUCCCCACAGAGAUUGGUCUAGUAUCAACCAUAUUUUUCACUCCAGUGUAUUCCACUUCCACAUGCUGCUCAAAGGUUUGAAAAGAGUUUGUUGUAGGAAUUGUUGAGGAAGAUGGAGGUUGUACAUUUCUCUUAAACACUCUCCUCUGAAUUCUAUUUCCUACAAUUUUUGCUCUUGGACCUUUUUCUUCCCUCUACCAACUUGAGUUGCAAUUGGUUUCCUCUCCAGCUGGUUACCUUUGGAUCUAGUUGCUUUUCGAGGUGUAAUUUCCUACAUUCCUCUAUUUUAUGACUAUACAUAUGAUAGUGUUCACAUAUGGAAGGCUUCCAAUCAUAAGUCACCUUCUGUGUGAGCCACUACUCUCUUUUCAUUCUUAAACAACACUUCAUCAGGAAAAUCUCCAUCCACCCUGACCUCAACAAGUAGCUUUCCAAAGCUUAAGCCCAGUUUUUUUAGGGUGUUGGUCAACCAUCAAAGGCUUCCCCACUAAGCUGCCUAUCUUACUAAGUCCUCUAACACUCUAGUAUUUAAAAUCUAAUCUGGAUAGCUUAAUCCAUAUAGGAACAGUCAAUAAUUACUCCUUCAAAAACUCCAUCUCUUGGGACUAAGCUUUGAUAAUAAGAGGUUUAUUGUCAAAAUAGUAGUUACCUCCUUGUAGAAUCUUUAAUUUACCCUCUUCUGUGUCAAAUCGAACCAAAACAAUACCAUAUUUCCCCAUAUAUCCAUUGUAUGUAACUAUUUAAGACAAAAAGGGAGGGUGAUAUCCUAGGACUUAACAGACAAUAAUGCUUUGCCAAUGAUCUAAUUCAGAGCUAAUAUCAUCCAAUUAAAUUUCCCCUAUCAGUUCGUCUCCUAUACUCUCAGGGUUAACAUAUUACAGUUUGAAACAUGAAUUAGCAAGUUUUGAUAUGUCGAAAGUUUUCCAAAUUGAAUUUACCUUCACAACAUGCCUUUUCUCAGAUCCCCUCAUCUGUGUGCCCCUAUUUAGCUGGUCAUCAACUUGAUCCAUCUCGUUUCCUCAUGAUAUUUUUGAACUUGCUCCAGAGAUAUGUUAUGUCCAUUCUUAGACUGUAGCUUCCACCAGAGUAGGAGGUAUCACUGGUGUAGAUAAAUUAGUUUGGGUCAUAAUUCUCGUGAUACUUUAUUGGUCAAUAAUCGCUAUUGCUCCAUGAGGCUUUGUUGGAAGAGGACCUCAAUUGAUUGACGUUUCCGAAUAAGAAUUGGAUGAUCACUUUUCACCGACAAGCUUGCCAUUGAACUUUUCGUCAGGGUUGCGUUCUUCGAUCUCCUCCCAUGGCUGGCGCACGUUAGUUACGUCAAAACAUCCACAUGUUAUUAUUAUUUAAAAUAUAAAAAAACUACAUAAACUAAC
rnacentral:lncRNA from 1 species